CGCGGGAUAGAGCAGUUGGCAGCUCGUCGGGCUCAUAACCCGAAGGUCGUUGGUUCGAGUCCAGCUCCCGCCACCA
rnacentral:tRNA from 3 species